CAAAAAGCGCACAAACAGUGCCAUAGUCAUACAUCAAUCCAGAUAAAAAUCAAAUACAAUCCUCCGGAAUCAGGAAAGAAAUACAAGCAAGUAGAUUCCGUCAACAAGCCUGACGGUAAUCCACAACAAAUGAAAGAACUAGCUGGAUGAGGGUCCCACAGAUGGCCCUAUCUCAUCUUCCAUCUUCGCGAACUCAACGGCGAACCUGAGCUCGGUGUUCUCCUGCUGCAAUCUCCCCACUUCUUUCUGAUGAAUCUUCAUCUGCCUGAAGUAGUGAUCUCUCUCUGCCAUAUAAUGAUCCCUCUCAGCUAUACAGUGAUCUCUCUC
rnacentral:lncRNA from 1 species